ensembl:lncRNA
CACCAGCCAUGUAAAAACACUUCACUUGACACCACUAAUUCCAGGCCCUGUCUGUCCCACUGUCUGUCAGGACCAAGGCGUUCCACAACCUGCAGGAUGCUCUGAAGUGUAACUACGAACACUGGCAGACCUGGGAGCACUUCAUCGCUGUCUGCACCGGCAUGGAGAGUUUGCCGAGGCCAUCAAGGCCUACAACCGCCUCAUGGACCUGAGGGACAAAUUCAAGGAUGUACAGAUUCAAGAGAUCCUGGUGCAGGCGGUGGUGGAGGACAUGAUGGAUAACCAUGGCGACCAGGCCUCGUCCCUGCGGGCCAAGAUCCAGGAGCUCCUGGGUCGCGCAUGUCCCGCCAUAGCACCGACGCUGAGAUCUGGCGUCACUACGCCCUGCUGUAUGGAGACGGACAGAGCACCAGGCCUGGUGACGAGUUAGUAGGCCCCCUUAACAUUCCCCUAACAUCCCUUGACAUUUAGCUGUGCAAACACCACACAUGAAAUAUACUUACUGUAUGUGCUCUGAGGAGACGGGGGAAAGUAAUUAUUGUAAUGGACUUUGCGCCUGUUAAUAAGCUAUUCAUAGGCUCAUUAGUAACUGAUAGGCAUUGGUAACUAAUGGUGUUGCACUUAGCCACACGGUGAUAGAUGGCUCCUAUUUGUCCGACUCAGUGGGCUGAUGAGGUUUUCUUUCCUUCAUACAAAGGCCACAUGUAGAAGUUGGUCAAAUUGAGAGAAAAAAGCUAUUAAAGUGUGACUUUGUCCUCGUGUUUAUUGGCCAGUUGUAGUGUUUUGUUCACACACUAGGUUGUUUUUCUAUGUUAGUUUAAGUUUGCUGAAACUGUCUGCUGCUAGGAAGACAUUGCAGUCUGAGACUUCCCAAGUUACCGCAGUAAGGAUUGUGCUUGAUUGAGCAUUCACUUUUUGCUGUUUCUUGUCAUUACAAUACUUAUACUUUAAUUGUUCUCUUAGAUGUAUUUGUGUGCUUCUACAUUUCUACUUAGGAGCACAUCGUGUCAGCAUAGGGCAGGGCCUAAAAUUAACUUUUUUGUAUACCAUUCUCUGGUAGGUGGAUAAAAAAAUCUACCAGCCACUCCAAUUAUUUUUAUUACUAAAAGAAACACAAGAAAACGCAUGAGCAUGCUUCGUAAUGUUACGAAAACAAGAAAUGUAUUACUGGUAAGAAGUAAUGUUGUAUAAUCCUCUAUUUAAUUUAAUAUUCUGUGAUCUGAGUCAAAUAAAUACAAAAUAAAAAAUGCUGCCCCCUUACCCUGGUAACAGUGCCACUCCAGUUGUCAUGUGUGCCUGUGAGAAUCUCACUAGUAAAGACCGAAGAUGUCUCUUUUUGCUAGCAGUGGAAGCAAACUCACACAUUGAAAAGCAACCUAGCUUGUGAGCAAAACAGUGUAACUAGCCAAGACUAGUAGACUUUAGAAUUAAUUAGACCAACAUUUAUACCUGUGCUCAUUGCUUCUAAAAAUGAAUCUUUCAGCACAUCCCUCAGUCCUCACAGCCACCCCAGACAAGCAUUAUGGCUGCGGAAGGUGGGAUAAAUUAACGUUAGGAUUCAGAUUUCUUUGUGCAUUACCAAAAAUUAAACAAAAGGGCAGAAAUACUUUGAAAACAGCUACUGCAGCAUUUAUUUAGCUAUAAAUCACAACUUGCACUUGUGCCCAUACUUGACUAUUUUUAUAAAAUGCUCACACUGUAUAGCCCUGAGUGUGACCACCUGCCAACGUGGCUGGUGAAUUGGACCUUCUUAGGGAGUGAACGUUAUUUAUAGUACAGACCUCUGAAAUGAAAAUGGAUGGUCCUCCCUUAAGCAAAAUAUAUUUUACCUAAACCCUCUCUGAACUCUUGAAAAAAAAAAAAAGACCCUUCCCAUACCAAGAAUAAUAAUUUAAACAAGUGGGUAGCAGAGAAUAUGUCUCCCGUUUACCCUCCCUUAUUGGACAGGCUUAGAUAUGCAGUUUUAGAAACUGUUCUUCAUCUUGUAAGCGUUACAUGGCAAUGCAGGAAUUUUUAUUGAGCACAGGGCUGCGGGCCAGAAGGUUGUGGGUUCGCAGACCACCGCGGACAAGAGUAGGGGUGGAAAGAUCUACUUAAUAGUAAAAGCAUUGCAUGCAUCUGUCGUUGUAUUUACAGGUCAGGAAAGAAAAUAGCCUUUUAAUACAAAUUUCAUGCAAUUCUUCGCCAUUUUACAUAUUAGCAGAAUCUUUUUUAACACCGCACAAAUUACCGAAGUGUACCGGCUCAGAAUGGACACAGAGAGAGGUGUAUGUGUUCAUCUUAUCAUAUUUCUCCAAUGCCAAAUCCUUGUGUCUUGUUCUCAAAUAAUUACAUCUGAGACAUCAUCAGAGCAUGGUACUUAGAAAAGUUAGGCAUACCUUUCCACCCCAGACAGAGUUGGCCUACCGAUGCAGAAAAAUGUAAGCUUUAACUGCUAGCUACUCUUCUUCCGUGGCUUAACCCAACGAGAGAAGGUCACAAGUGUUUCCCUAAAAGCUGUCUAGAUUUAAACAUCUUCUAUUGUACAGCUUAAUCAAUUGAUCGUAACAGAAUUCGAUUACUUCCCAAGCUGGGGCGGCAGGUAGCCUAGUGGCUAGUGUGUUGGGACAGUAACCGAAAGGUUGCUGGAUCGAAUCCCAGAGCUGACAAGGUAAAAAUCUGUUGUUCUGCCCCUGAGCAAGGCAGUUAACCCACUGUUCCCCGGGCGCCAAAGACGUGGAUGUCGAUUUAAGGUAGCCUCCCGCACCUCUCUGAUUCAGAGGGGUUGGGUUAAAUGCAGAAGACACAUUUCUGUUGAAGGCAUUUGUACAACUGACCUAGGUAUCUCUCUUUCCCCAAAGUCUAUUUUUCAUCGUUGUCUCAACAGUAUCCCCAUAAUGUCUUUCCCGGGUAUUUUACAGCUUGUUUGUAACAUAAAGCAUCAAUAACAGCGCUUUGGUCUGGGAUGCUUUAUAUAAUCGGUUCCGUUUUAUUUUCUUAAUCUUAAGCUAGCUUGCUGUGCUUUUUUGCCAUUUUCUUUAAUUAAAGGUGGCAUAAACCCUCAAUUCGUGUCUUGGUUUUAACUUAGCCUAUCUCCGUGUCAGUGGAGGCCUGUUAUUUAAAGAGUUCAUGGUGAGUGGAGGAAUUGACUGACAAAUCUAUGGAUAUAGCAGCCUAUAGCCUAAUUUCAUCUGUCAAACAUAUAGGCCUACCUUUUUAUUUCUUAAAUAGGAAGAAAUAGGAUCCAACACAAAGCCCUCUUGUUGUUAAAGUCUAAUUAAAAUGAAGACAAUUAUCAUUAAGUUCCCUUAGUCGACCAGCAAAUUUCAAAUUUAUAUUCAAAGACCAAUGAGAUGUUCAAAUUCCUCGCAAAGAAGGGCAUCUAUUGGUAGAAGGGUAAAAAAUAUAUUUUUCAAUAACAUUGAAUGUCCCUUUGAAUGAAGUUAUUAAUUACACUUCCUAUGGUGUGUCAAUACACCCAGUCACAAAGAUACAGGUGUCCUUCCUAACUCAGUUGCCGGAGAGGACGUAAACCUCUCAGGGAUUUCACCAUGAGGCCAAUGGUGACUUCAAAACAGUUAGAGGUUAAUGGCCGUGAUAGGAGAAUACUGAGGAUGGAUCAACAACAGUGUCGUUACUCCACAAUACUAAGCUAAAUAGCAGAGUGAAAAGGACGCCUGUACAGAAUUGUAAAACAUCCAACACAUGCAUCUUGUUUGCAAUAAGGCACUAAAGUAUAACUGCAAAAAAAUGUUGCAAAGAAAUUAACUUUGCCUUCAAUACAAAGCGUUAUGUUUGGGACAAAUCCAACACAUUACUGAGUACCGCUCUUCAUAUUUUUAAGCAUGUUGUUGGCUGCAUUACGUUAUGGGUAUGCUUGUCAUCGGGAAGGACUAGUGAGGGGUUUUUUAGGAUUAAAAGAAACUGAGCAAAAUCCUAGAGGACAACCUGGUUGUCUGCUUUCCACCAGACACUGGGAUAAUAAUUCAACUUUCAACAGGACAAUAACCUAAAACACAAGGACAUUGAAUGUUCCCGAGUAGCCUAGUUACAGUUUUGACUUAAAUCAUCUUGAAAAUCUAUGGCAAGUCUUGAAAAUGGCUGUAUAGAAAUGAUCAACAACCAACUUGACAGAGCAUGAAGAAUUCUUUAAAGAAUAAUGGGCAAAUAUUAUACCAUCCAGGUGUGCAAAGCUCUUAGAGACUUACCCAGAAAGACUCACAGCUGUAAUCGUUGCCAACGGUGAUUCUAACAUGUAUUGACUCAGGGUUUUGAAUACUUAUAUCAAUGAUAUAUUUCUGUAUUUCAUUUUCAAUACAUUUCUAAAAACAUGUUUUCACUUUGUCGUUUAUGGGGUAUUGCGUGUUGAUGGGUGAGAAGGGGGGGGGAAAGCUAUUUAAUCCAUUUUCAAUUCAGGCUGUAACAAGAAAAUGUGGAAUAAGUUGAGGGUAUGAAUACUUUCUGAAGGUGUACUGUGUGGCCUAAUAAGCAACAAAUUCUAAAACACUGAGAAAUAUUAAAGUUUCAUCAAUUACAAAUUACAUUACCCUCCCCUGGACUAAUUUAAAAAAUAGUAAACCUUCCCCUUGACUGAAAUUUAAUGCCAAAAUCUACCCGCAUUUGGCAGGUGGUGGGUGUUAAUUUUAGGCACUGUUAGUCCUGAGUUAUUAUAAUAAAUAAGCCAUAUUAUCAGCCUUUUGUGGCAUGGUAAGCACGUUGUUGAUUCUUGAUGUUCAGUGUAGAACUGUUUAUCUGUUUUUACUAUUGUAUCUUAAUUAUGUAUUUUAACUUUGGUUAAAAGACGCAGGUCACAAAAUGUAAUGAAAUUAAGCAAUAAACCCCAUUUACUUCUUACUAGUAAUACAUUUCUUGUUUUAGAAAAAUCGAAAGUGUGCUCAUCGUUUUUUUUUUUAUCAUUAAAAAAAGUAUAAUAAUUAUAAUAAUGCCACCAAAAAUAUUUUGGCUGGUAAAAAAUCUGAGUGGCUGGUUGAUUUAGAUUUUUUAACUCUACCUGCCACAGUGGCUGGUGGACCAAAAAUGUUAUUUCCCACCCUGAUCAUAUCCUUAGUGUGAGUUGUGACCCUUAGCACUGGCAUGUUAUUUGUCAUUCCGUUCAUCUUUCCACUGCCAUUUCCCCCCUUCCAUAGGCCAGUCAUGCCACAGCGAUGGCUUCUGUUCAUUGUUUUAUUCAUUAAAUGUGUUUACUUUGUAUUCAUUAUAAUCCAGAUGGCUUGAUGUCGCCAGCAGCUUGGUCAGGCUUUAUGGUAUGUGACAAUAUUUGAUUAAAAGAAGAAAGAAAAAA